rnacentral:rRNA from 1 species
GGACUACCCGGGUAUCUAAUCCUGUUUGCUCCCCACGCUUUCGCGUCUUAGCGUCAGAAACCGUCCAGAUAGCCGCCUUCGCCACUGGUGUUCUUCCCAAUCUCUACGUAUUUCACCACUACACUGGGAAUUCCACUAUCCUCUCCGGUCCUCUAGUCACCCAGUACCGAGUGCAUUUCUUGAGUUGAGCUCAAGGCUUUCACACCCGACUUGGAUAACCGCCUACACGCGCUUUACGCCCAGUAAUUCCGAACAACGCUAGCCCCCUUCGUCUUACCGCGGCGGCUGGCAC